UACGUAGGGUCCUAGCGUUGUCCGGAAUUAUUGGGCGUAAAGGGCUCGUAGGCGGUCUGUCGCGUCGGGAGUGAAAACUCAGGGCUUAACCCUGAGCCUGCUUCCGAUACGGGCAGACUAGAGGUAUGCAGGGGGAGAACGGAAUUCCUGGUGUAGCGGUGAAAUGCGUAGAUAUCUGGAGGAACACCGGUGGCGAAGGCGGCAAUCCUGGACCGGCAUUGACGCUGAGGCGGCGAAAGCUAGGGGAGCAACGGGG
rnacentral:rRNA from 1 species